GGACACUAUCUUGUGGUCUCCAGAGACGAGUACAACCUGCGCUAUGGGAAACCGGUACACAUCUUUGUGGAAACUGGCCCUGAGACGUUUCUGAAGAUCAGGAGUAGAGAUCACAAAACGAAAAACUUUGUGUCAGUAACAUGUCUUGAGGAGCUAAUCAGAGUUGCUGUGGGUCAUGGAAUUUGUCAGGAGGGCAACAUACAGGUGUAUUUAAUGGAUGAGUUAUCACUU